GUUUACUGGUAACCAAGUGCCAUGAAGCAAACUUGCAAAAUAUACCAACGGUAAAUGUCUUGUAUCUAAUCAGAUGGACUCCUUCAUCCUCUGAGCUCGGGUCUUCUACCAGACGCCUGGGAGCUUCAGGGCUCUGCGGAGUAUCUUGGUUGUGCCUAGAAAUGCACAUUUCUGGACUGAGAGGUCUGAUGCUGUUCCUGGAAUCUGUUUUAGCCACUGCUCCAGUUUGAGGGUGAGGGCCCCUGCGCACCUCGGCCCUGUAGACGCAGGGUGAAUCCUAGCAACCUGCAGCCUCUCUUUGUCGGGAGUACCGGACCCCAGCUGAUGGUGUGGACCCGCUGAUUUUUGCCAGGAUCGGUUUGGUAAAUGCCAGGUCGCUGACAAAUAAAACUUGUCAUUAGAGAUUUCUUUUCUCUCAA